CGGCAUGCUCUGAAGCUCAUCUGACCUCAUCUCAAAUGGCCCUAUAGGGCCACAAGGAUGGUCAGUUUAUUCCGCGCUUAUUUGUGCCCUAAAGCAUCAAUCCUAAUUGGCAGUUAUCUGGGCUUCUAUAUCUGCCUCCUGCCAACCUUUUUGAACCGUGGUCACUAAAUGAAGAGGUUCUGGCCUAGGAAGGCCCAUGCAUUCCUUCAAUUGGAUAGAGAGCCAAGAUAGUGACUCUAGAGAUCUUGAGAAUAAGAGGGAAUGUUGACUAGGGAGCACCGCGGCUGCGGAACAGAGGAGCUGGAACUGGAGCCUGGGCUGAGUCUGAAAAAAGCCGGAUCCGGAUGGUGGCCCCGGAACAGCUGGAAGUGGAAGAUGGAGGAGCCCCGGGAACCUGCGGACAGUGGGCAUUCCCUGCCCCCAGUUUACAUCUAUAGUCCCGAGUAUGUCAGCAUGUGUGAUUCCCUGGCCAAAGUCCCCAAACGGAAUAGUUAAACCCAAAGUGGCCUUCAUAGGGGAGGUGGCCACCUUCUAUACCGAUGCCUAUCUGCAGCAUCUCCAGAAGGUCAGCCAAGAAGAAGAAGAUCAUCCAGACUCCAUGGGUUAUGACUGUCCAGCUACAGAAGGGAUAUUUUGACAACGCAGCAUCUGUGGGAGGGGCUACAAUCACAGCUGCCCAAUGCCUGAUUAAUGGAAUGUGCAAAGUAGCAAUUAACUGGUCUGGAGGGCGGCAUCAUACAAAGAAGCUCGCAGAACCCUUGGCUGUGCUGGCGUGGCUCAAGUGGUGCCCAAGAAGGUGCUGAGUUCAGCCCAAGUGGCACUCAAUGCGGACCUGAGUGUGAGGGAACUCAGUUGUCAGGUGAAAGGAGGCCUCAAUGCGUGCGCAUGCAAAGGAGCAGCACAGCCAAUUUGGGUGCCAGAGAGUUACAUGUGUCACCACCAUGGACCCAGAAAAGCUCCUUCUCCCAUCGUUCAAAAGACUGAGAGUUGCCCCGAUGACAGCAAAGUGGAAAAGGAAGAUGAUGAAGGCUAUACAAAAGACUGAGGUGCCAACAUGGGGUCAGCUGAAGAAGUUAACAAAUGAGGCCCAGCAGAUGGCAGAAAAGCAAGAAGUGGAAGCUACUCCCUCAACCAUGUUUCUGGCCAUGCUAGCAUUGGUUAGCUGCCAGUCUUCUGCAAAGUCUUCUGCAGCCAAGUCCAAGGACUCUUGAGUAAAUCAGCAAAAGAAACUUUCAUUUAGAAGGAAAAUGUUACUGUAGUUUGGUGUCUCUAUUGUAGUGUUGCAUUGGCAUUGUUUUAUUAAGAACCACGUCUGGGUUUUGUAUUUGCAUUGUUUUGUUUUUGGGUUUUGCAUUGGCAUUAUUUUGUUAGUGUUUUAAUAGUCAGAACUUUGUUCUUGAUGUUUAAGUUUUACUUCCAUUAUUAGUAGCUUAAAAU